AAAAUUAUGAAAAAUUAGUAGUAUGUAUCAAAAUAUAUAAUUAUUUAUAGCCAUAGCAGAGCCGGUUACCACAUGACUUCUUGUCCGAGACAUCCUUUCAGAGAUAUGAUCAAGAGAUAUUUAGACGAGGCCACUAUGCUACCUGGUCAACUCGGUCAGGAGGGCGACACAUUCUUCCAAUAUAGCCAAAUAGAGACAGGCAUGAAGGAUAAGCAGGCAGAGAGUAGCACAAAAGAUAAGCGGGCAGCGAGUGAUACGAAGGGUAAGCGGGCAGCGAGUGACACGAAGGUUAAGCGGCCAAUGAGUGGCACGAAGGGUAAGCGGACAACGAGUGGCAUAAAGAGUAAAUGGACGGCGAGUGGCACGAAGGGUAAGAAGACAUUUUGUUGUCCUAUGCAGCUCGGAACAUCUUAUAUGUCAGAUUUUGUUGCUGGCUUAUUCGGAUGGUCAUCUUCACAGUCGUUUUAUCAGUCAGUUUAUCGGUCAGAGGAUACUUCUCAGAAUUAAAGCUUUAGUGAGAGAUCUGAGAGUACUUAUAAUCCGAAGCACAUUCGUUAUGGGAUGAACAUAUAAGACUACAACGCCGCUUGGUUAGAGGGGUGGGCUGAUGUGCUUUCUGACUAUGCUAGUGAUCUCGAUAUCUACAAGAGGUAUCGCCACUCGACAAAAUUUUAGAUAUCGAUAUGUAUGUUGUACUUUAAAUAUCUGUAAUUGAUUAUAUUAUUUUAUAUUUUCUACCUCACUACUUGAUUUGAGGAUAUUUCAUUGCAUCUAUCAUCUCACUAAUUAUUUUAUGUCAAGGUUCACCAUCUCAGUACCGGACCCUCUAUCAGUGCCACACUAGCACAGUGUUGGUACGGUAUGGUACGAAUUUUUUUGGCGUACCGAGUGUUGGUAUGUCAUUCGUAUCGGGUACUGGUAUCGAACCAGUAUGGUACAGUACGUUUCUUACCACCUGGUUUGGGCCGGUACGACAUACUAUGUUUUAUGUUUUGUAUCAUUUUAAAAUAAUAAGAUGCAUAAUUUAGGUUAAACUGAGAUU
rnacentral:lncRNA from 1 species